rnacentral:rRNA from 1 species
GACGUAGGGCGCGAGCGUUAUCCGGAAUGAUUGGGCGUAAAGCGUCCGCAGGUGGCUAUGUAAGUCUGCUGUUAAAGAGUGAGGCUCAACCUCAUAAGAGCAGUGGAAACUACAUGGCUAGAGUGCGUUCGGGGCAGAGGGAAUUCCUGGUGUAGCGGUGAAAUGCGUAGAUAUCAGGAAGAACACCGGUGGCGAAAGCGCUCUGCUAGGCCGCAACUGACACUGAGGGACGAAAGCUAGGGGAGCGAAUGGG